GAUGAACGCUGGCGGCGUGCCUAAUACAUGCAAGUCGAGCGAACGGACGAGAAGCUUGCUUCUCUGAUGUUAGCGGCGGACGGGUGAGUAACACGUGGAUAACCUACCUAUAAGACUGGGAUAAUUUCGGGAAACCGGAGCUAAUACCGGAUAAUAUUUUGAACCGCAUGGUUCAAAAGUGAAAGACGGUCUUGCUGUCACUUAUAGAUGGAUCCGCGCUGCAUUAGCUAGUUGGUAAGGUAACGGCUUACCAAGGCAACGAUGCAUAGCCGACCUGAGAGGGUGAUCGGCCACACUGGAACUGAGACACGGUCCAGACUCCUACGGGAGGCAGCAGUAGGAAAUCUUCCGCAAUGGGCGAAAGCCUGACGGAGCAACGCCGCGUGAGUGAUGAAGGUCUUCGGAUCGUAAAACUCUGUUAUUAGGGAAGAACAUAUGUGUAAGUAACUGUGCACAUCUUGACGGUACCUAAUCAGAAAGCCACGGCUAACUACGUG
rnacentral:rRNA from 1 species